rnacentral:pre_miRNA from 1 species
UUAAAGAAUUUGAAGACUUCAACUUGCAGACUUGAAGAAUUUGAAGACCUGAACUUGCAGACUUGCAGGAAUUUGAAGAUAUCAACU